rnacentral:rRNA from 1 species
UGGAAGCGUCUGGAAAGGCGCGCGAUACAGGGUGACAGCCCCGUACACAAAAAUGCACAUACUGUGAGCUCGAUGAGUAGGGCGGGACACGUGGUAUCCUGUCUGAAUAUGGGGGGACCAUCCUCCAAGGCUAAAUACUCCUGACUGACCGAUAGUGAACCAGUACCGUGAGGGAAAGGCGAAAAGAACCCCGGCGAGGGGAGUGAAAAAGAACCUGAAACCGUGUACGUACAAGCAGUGGGAGCACGCUUCGGCGUGUGACUGCGUACCUUUUGUAUAAUGGGUCAGCGACUUAUAUUCUGUAGCAAGGUUAACCGAAUAGGGGAGCCGAAGGGAAACCGAGUCUUAACUGGGCGUUAAGUUGCAGGGUAUAGACCCGAAACCCGGUGAUCUAGCCAUGGGCAGGUUGAAGGUUGGGUAACACUAACUGGAGGACCGAACCGACUAAUGUUGAAAAAUUAGCGGAUGACUUGUGGCUGGGGGUGAAAGGCCAAUCAAACCGGGAGAUAGCUGGUUCUCCCCGAAAGCUAUUUAGGUAGCGCCUCGUGAAUUCAUCUCCGGGGGUAGAGCACUGUUUCGGCAAGGGGGUCAUCCCGACUUACCAACCCGAUGCAAACUGCGAAUACCGGAGAAUGUUAUCACGGGAGACACACGGCGGGUGCUAACGUCCGUCGUGAAGAGGGAAACAACCCAGACCGCCAGCUAAGGUCCCAAAGUCAUGGUUAAGUGGGAAACGAUGUGGGAAGGCCCAGACAGCCAGGAUGUUGGCUUAGAAGCAGCCAUCAUUUAAAGAAAGCGUAAUAGCUCACUGGUCGAGUCGGCCUGCGCGGAAGAUGUAACGGGGCUAAACCAUGCACCGAAGCUGCGGCAGCGACACUAUGUGUUGUUGGGUAGGGGAGCGUUCUGUAAGCCUGUGAAGGUGUGCUGUGAGGCAUGCUGGAGGUAUCAGAAGUGCGAAUGCUGACAUAAGUAACGAUAAAGCGGGUGAAAAGCCCGCUCGCCGGAAGACCAAGGGUUCCUGUCCAACGUUAAUCGGGGCAGGGUGAGUCGACCCCUAAGGCGAGGCCGAAAGGCGUAGUCGAUGGGAAACAGGUUAAUAUUCCUGUACUUGGUGUUACUGCGAAGGGGGGACGGAGAAGGCUAUGUUGGCCGGGCGACGGUUGUCCCGGUUUAAGCGUGUAGGCUGGUUUUCCAGGCAAAUCCGGAAAAUCAAGGCUGAGGCGUGAUGACGAGGCACUACGGUGCUGAAGCAACAAAUGCCCUGCUUCCAGGAAAAGCCUCUAAGCAUCAGGUAACAUUAAAUCGUACCCCAAACCGACACAGGUGGUCAGGUAGAGAAUACCAAGGCGCUUGAGAGAACUCGGGUGAAGGAACUAGGCAAAAUGGUGCCGUAACUUCGGGAGAAGGCACGCUGAUAUGUAGGUGAAGUCCCUCGCGGAUGGAGCUGAAAUCAGUCGAAGAUACCAGCUGGCUGCAACUGUUUAUUAAAAACACAGCACUGUGCAAACACGAAAGUGGACGUAUACGGUGUGACGCCUGCCCGGUGCCGGAAGGUUAAUUGAUGGGGUUAGCGGUAACGCGAAGCUCUUGAUCGAAGCCCCGGUAAACGGCGGCCGUAACUAUAACGGUCCUAAGGUAGCGAAAUUCCUUGUCGGGUAAGUUCCGACCUGCACGAAUGGCGUAAUGAUGGCCAGGCUGUCUCCACCCGAGACUCAGUGAAAUUGAACUCGCUGUGAAGAUGCAGUGUACCCGCGGCAAGACGGAAAGACCCCGUGAACCUUUACUAUAGCUUGACACUGAACAUUGAGCCUUGAUGUGUAGGAUAGGUGGGAGGCUUUGAAGUGUGGACGCCAGUCUGCAUGGAGCCGACCUUGAAAUACCACCCUUUAAUGUUU